AAUACAUUUAAAAAUUUAUGAUAAAAAUUUUUUAUUACGUUUGUAAUCUGUAUUA
rnacentral:tRNA from 1 species